GCCAGCCAGCUGUAGUCCACACCAGUCUUCAGGCGUCGGUACUCAUUCUCCCUCUCCUUCUGCAGCCUCUCAGCCUCCUUCAGCUGCCAGCUGAACUCCACCAUCAGGGUGUCGGUGACCACGUCGGAUGGGUCCCGGCGGGGCGUCCGGUAAUAAGGCUCAUUCCAGUUGAACCAGGAGGCCAUUGUCCUCCUUCACCGUCCCCUGAAGAUAGACAACCAGAGGGAGGCAUCGCAGAGAUGUGAUGAGCCUGAAAUGUGAGACCAAAACAACACUACAGAGCUGUUACACUGAACAUGUAAUUGCCUGAAGAGGUUGUUUCCUUCCACUAGUAGUGCUAGCUUAAAGGGAUCAUUGGAUUUGCUCUGCCAUAUAAUAGUUUAAGGUCUUGACCUUACUAUGGGAGGUACCCUGAGGUGACUUAUGUUGUGGACUGGAGCUUUAUAAACAAAACUGAACAUGUUCUUCACUUUUCUCUUCUUUCUCAUUGCACUGACACAGCACUCAUUUUUCAAAGAAAACAUUAACACUGCAUAAUUUUGCAUCAAUUGAAACAUGACAUCCUCUGAAGUGUGUUUCACAUCUGGACAUAUUCCCCAAAGAGAGCGUCCUUCGUCUCAUCCUCCAUCGGCUCUUUGUUCCACAGGUGUCAUAUCAGCUCCCUCACCGACCAACACUGAGUCUUUUGUUUGCAUGUUGUUUGUUGGGUUUUUUGGGUGAACGUACAACAAAACACAACACUGAUUCAUGUAUUGUGAGUUGUUAAUUAAAAUUACAAGCUUUAAUUAGGUUUCAUAAUACAAAUGUUUCUUAAAUGUGAAUAUUUGCUGCUGUUCUUUUAUGAUAGUAAACUGAAAAAAGCCACACUUUGUCCGGUUCCUGUCAAAUGUGAGGAUUAGCUGCUGUUCUUUCUUAUGUAUUACUGUGAGGUUAAUGGGGACUGUUGGUCAAACAAAAUAAGCUAUUUUAAAAUCUCACCUUGAUCUCAGGUAAAUUGCAUGAACAUUUUUUCAUUAAAGAUUUGCCAAUGUUUAAAAUAAUUCUUAUUUGAAGAAAAAAUUUGAAUUAGACUUUGGACUGUUCAAAGACAAGCAAAUUGAAGAAAUUAGUGUAAUUAAGUGGGUAUUUUUCCCUUUUUGAUAUAUUCUGUUAUGUUAGAUUAAGAAAAAUAAUAGAAAAGUUAACUGAUGAUAAAAAUAACAAAAACCAUGAUCCUCAAAAGAUUUUCAGAAGCACCAUUUUAUAAAACUUGCACAGUCAAUGUCUUAAUGGCAACAGGCUACACACCUUUUUAUGUUGCACCUGCACAUGUUUGCUGUUUUUUAUGCUUUUAAAUUUAGAUUCAUUUUUGGCUGUUUAGUAACUGCCCUCUCUUUUUAUUUGUGGCUUAAUCCUUUUGUCCUCCAAACCACAGCUGCUUGGUGUUGCUCAGCUGUUAUAAAAUGUUGUGUUGCUGUGGACUUUAAAAGCUGGAAAGGAAGGAGUUUCAGUCAGGCUUCAGAGUGCAUCAUAGCACAGAAACAGCUCUGGUGAAAGUCACUAAUGACCUUCUCAUAGCGUCAGAUAAUCGACUGGUCUCUAGACUUGUUUUGUUGGACCUUGGUGCAGCAUUUGACACCAUCAACCACAAACUUUUAUUACAGCGACUAGAACAUUCUUUUGGCAUUAAAAGGACAGUACUGUUGGAGUCCGCAUGUACAGUGCACAACUGACUUCUUCUUUGACAUCCCUUAGUUAUCUGAGGAUCUGUGGUUGUUCUCCCACCAACUGACUUAGUCUCCAUCAUGUCCACUGUGGGACACUGCUGCUGACCUUCCUCCAGUCCACUGCUUCCAGCUGCCCAUUUCCACCAGUCUACUCUGCAUCGCCCUUACUAUACAUGAUAUGCUCAUAUACACACUGUUUGCAUCUUACUACCAGCUAUAUAUGUAGCAUAUUUAAUGCCAGAGCCUUACACCAUAACAGUAAGCUUAAGAAUCAGUUUCCAUGUUGGCUUUUACUUUGUACGCAUCAUCUAUGUUACUGUGAUCAUGCAUGUAUGCCACCUCUUCUGUCCCUCUCUACCCAGCCAGCCAGCAGCAGAUGGGUCCCCCAUAUGAAUCGGAUUCUGCUCAAGGUUUCUUCCUGUUAAAAGGGAAUUUUUUUCUUGCCACUGUCGUGUCAGAUCUUCUUCUGGGGAUUCAGGCUAUAUGGGUUCUGUAAAGUGUCUUGAGACAAUCUGAAUUGUAAUUGCCGCUAUAUGAAUAAAAUUGAAUUGAAUUUGUCAGGAUUAACAAACACAGCAACAGGGUGAGAUUAGUGACAGACCUGGUCCUCUAUGUCCUCAUCGGUUUAACUCUGUGGUGACUAAGCCUGUAAAAUGGAGCCAAAACAGGCAUCUGAGAAGUGCAACUGCACGAUAGAUGCAUUAAAAUAUGCUUUAAUGGAUGUAUUUGAAUAGGGUUUUUUUUUAUAGAAGCAAUGAAUAAGAAGAAUCAAAAUAGGAACAGGGUGUACCUAAAUCAGUUUAUUAUCAGUUGAUUUAAUUUUUCAGUUUAUCAACUAAUUGUUUGCCCCAUAACAGAUGAAAAAAAAUCUGACACAGCUUCCUGAAUUCAUCAGGUGUCCAAAAAUAUUUACUAUAUAUUUCAUAUAAAAUUUACCAUCAAGCAAGAUCAAGAAAAUCAGCAAAUCCUCACUUAUGCUUUAUGCUUUUAUAUCUACUCUAUUUUAUUUGACUGUUUUAUUUUGCCUGUAAAAUGUGUCUGAGUGCCCAGAAAAGCAUUACACAAAUCAAAUGUAUUUGAUUAUUAUUAUCAUUAUUAUUAUUGAUAUCAGAAUGUAGUGCAGAAGAAAAACACAUUUCUUGCCUUGAACUUUCUUUUGAAAUUCCAUUUUGCUCAAAUAUACAUUUCUCAUCUCAUCAAGGUUCAAAAAAUAGGCUUUGUUUUUGAGAGGUACAUUUAAAGCAGUUUGUUGCUGUUUGAAUUAAGAAUGAACAGUUGUUUUUUUGUUUUUUUUUUUUUUUAAAAGUAUUUUCUUACCUCCUUUUCUUUUCCCUAAGUUUGUCUUAGACUCCACAAGAAAAGAAGAAAAACCGCCUUUGAGCAGAAUUACAAAGGAAGUCCUGAGAAAGCAGAAGGCUGGAUGGAUGCUCAGAGAGACGAGACAGUGUGAGAGAUAAGCAGAGAGAGAAGAGAAAUGGUUACUAUCUCCUUCCUCUGCUGUCAGUAUUAUCUCCACCUCUCUCCUCCUCCCGGGAGCCUCUCCGGCCUGCCUUUACUUGUUGCUGGAGGUUGGGGGCACCAUCUCCAAUGGGAGCCGUUGGAUCACGGCCCCUGAUGAAGUGCUUGUGUAGCUUUUUUACGAUUCGCCGUUGCCAUAGCAAUGCUGCUAAGCCUAUUUGUCCACAAUAAGCUCCAUCAGCUGAAAGGGAGCUAGAGAGCGAUGAAGAGGCAGAUAAAGAGGACAGAGUGGGCCGAGCGGCGCGAUGGAGAGAGAGAGAGAUAAAUCAAAGUAUGUUGUUUCUGAGGACAGAGAUUCUGUGAUGUGGGCUCGGUUUGGAGCUGCAGCAUCUGCGAGAGAUCACCCCGUGUCAAUUAACCUCCCACAGAUAAUGAGAGCCGCUGGUUGGCAACAGUCGUGCAUGAGUAGCAGGAUGGUUGGAGAUGUGCUAAUUACAUCAGGAAGUGUUUGCAGAGGACAGAGGAGCAGAGAGAAAGAGUCCAGACUGGAUGUGUAGUCGUCGUGUGGGUGGAUAUCAAGGUUUGCUGGUUCAUUCUGCGUGUAGGUGUGAGCAGCUAACCUCAGACGGUUUCCUCCUGCACAUAUUCUUAAAAUCUUCAUCACACCUCCAGCACAGCACCAUCCUCCUCCUCUUCCUCCUCCUCCUCAGUGUUACUCUGCCAGAGAAAACGCUGGGUGAACUAUGAACUCUGCUCAGUCACAGCAGAAACAUCCACCAGCGAGUGCAGAAAAUCGGUGUGAUUUCCAGAGUGUCAUCUUGCAUUUUUAAAAAAAAAGAAUUCAGCCUAUUUAAAAUUCAUUAGUGCAUAAUACUGGAAGAGCGGCACCAACACUGACGAUUUCCCUUGAGUGAAAUUUUAAAAAACAUUCACCACCCCCAUAAAAAUUGAACAAAAAUAUAAACGCAGCAUGCAAAAGGUCUUCUUUGCUGGCUCGGAGGAAAAGUUAAAAAUUUGAUUUCUGUUUUUGUGUUCAGAAAAGGGUUACAUUUAGCCAAAAAAAAGACAAAUUCUCAACAAUCUUUGGCUGUAAAGGAUCAGACAGUGUAACCAGAUGCUCCUUUAACAAGUCCACCUUAAAAUGCAGCUUUAUUUAAAUGGCAUGAUGGCACAGAUGACAAGAGAAUGAGUUGUUGGCAUGUUGGAUGGGGAUGUAGUCAGACAAUUGAAUGUCCACAACUGUACCAUUUGUCAUCUAAGAAAUAAUUUCAGACAUAAAUGGAGGUGUCCCAAAAAUGUCCAUCAACUUCACCAAGCCCUAUAGAGCAAAAUAUGACACGAGAAAGAGGAAAAUGAGUUGUCGUUGGCUGAUGGAUGCUGGUAUGUCAAAUAGAGCUGAAACAAGGAACUCAGAUGCCAACAAGUCCACCAUCUGUCACUUAAGAAAUAGCUUCAGAGAACAUGCUACCUCCCACAAUGUAAAGACGUGUCAACACCCAAGCUCUAGAACGUCACAUCAGGCUUGCUAAUAGGUGAAAUUGAUUGCGAUCAGCUGCAUAAAUUGCUGAUGAAUUUGUCAGUGCGCACAACCAGAGAAUAUCUGUGAAGAACUGCCUGGCAGGAAGCUGGUCUGUGAUGUCGUCGGUCACACUAAUGGUACGUGUCCACUGGGGCGUUUUUUUCUCGCAUGGAAACGCAUCAUAUCUGAGUUGGGAUUUAGUAUGGGUUAGAUCCCUCUGCUUCUAACCUCCUCAAGUAUGUUUUAUUGGAAGGUGCAGAUAAGAAGCAAUUACAGGCAAAAGCUAAUAGAAAAAAAACAUUCAUUUCCAAGAAUAUGAUUGAAACAUUUGCAUUGUGUCAGUGGCUUAGCUGUCUGUAAGUGUAAUGUUUACGUAUUGAAAACAUAUAUGAAAAUUUGUAUCCUAAAUCUCAAUUUGGUCUUAAAAUAGAUUCAAAAAUGAAUACUGAGAAGCUUCAGUUUGUUGUAAUCAUUCAUCCUGAUUAUACCGACCUGUACGAAAUCCCUUCGUGAUGUAUUUUCACCAUAUGUGAUAGAGGACAAAAUCUACACUCUUAAGAAAUAUUUGAGUGAGGUGCAUUAGAAAGAGAUCCUUUAUGAGCAACAGGAUUAACUACAACAAGUAAAACCAGUUUAACCGGACACAUGAGCUGUUUUUAGACAAAAAUGUGAACCAAUCCUUUAAUCAAAGAUAUGAUUUUAAUAAUUUCAAUGUUUCUUUUCAUGUAGCCCACAUUACUGUCCUUUUCUAUCUCCACAAUCCCUUCACCCCGACCUGUUGAGGCCUUUCUGAGCCAGUUUCUCCACUGAAAGGGAGUUUUUUCUUCUCACCAUCCCCUAGUGCCUACUUAAAGGUAAUCAUUGGAUUUGUUGUGUUUUCUCGCUAUAAUUUAAUACUGUAAGUGCUUGACCUUACUAUGUGACAUGUUCUCAGAUGUCAUACACUGUAAAGUGGUGCUACGUAAAUAAAGCUGAAUUGAAUUUC